AUUGCGCCAUCGGGUUCAUUCCCGAUGGCACGUCUGGCUGAGGGUCGAA
rnacentral:rRNA from 2 species